rnacentral:rRNA from 1 species
AUCUAUGGCCAUUCUACCCUGAAAAAGCCUGAUCUAUCUGAUCUCGGAAGCUAAGCAGGGUCAGGCCUGGUUAGUACUUGGAUGGGAGACCACCUACAAAGACCAAGUACUGUAGGUG